rnacentral:lncRNA from 1 species
UUCAGACUCAAACUUCUGUUGGAUUCAACCUAUUUAAAGACAAAUGCAUAGUGCCAAAAAGAAACUAGUAAUGCCUUGUCCGUGGUUCGGGACAACUCUUAUCAUAUAUGCUUCCUACCAAAUAAUACAAAGAUAUAAGACCUUACGAAUCAAACAUAAAGAAACUUAAGAAUCGAACGAAAACCCAGAAAUGCUAUACAAGUCUUUUAUAUUGAUAGUUAUAAAGCGCAUCUGCAUCAAAUCACAACACGUUCCAAACAGUUUUCGCCGUUCCGCAAGAAAAGAUAAGAACACAAAAAGAACCACAAUGAUCAGGUGCAGAGAGCUCUGCUAUCACUUCACAACACGGACCCAAAGGACUAAUCUGCAACAGCGCACAGCAUUAGCUGCACGGUAACCUGUAUCCCAAAACGACACUAGCCCAUAGCACAUGGAAUCAGCUGCACAUGAUCUGUCAUCACUUCCCAAAACGACCUCUAGCCCAUGGCACUAUUUGUUGCCCACCUCCAUUUCUCCUUGGAGCGUUAUUCUGCUGAGAAUGCAUCUUCAUCCUCUGUUCCUUCAUAUUUGCAAAUAGAGAAUCUAAUGUCUGAGGCCUCUGCUUUGACACUGGUUUGACCUCCCGCCUUUGUUGCUACACACAGAGAACACAAACUGUUACAUUUCUUCAAACCUUAGAAGAUGCAUACAAGCUGAUCUACAGAACCGACAGCAGCAAGAAGGCAAUGCUUUUAAAAAGUGACAAAUCAGACUAUCAAAAAAUGGAGACACCUCCAGUGAUAUGGUCCUUGCGGAGUUUGA